UCUUCUGAGGCAGAGAGGCCUCCGCUGAGCACCAGAGAGAGGCCACUGGGUGACACAGUGAUACUGGCUAGACCUCUUCAACCAUCUCUGAAUGGGGACAGAAUGGAAGCAGCGGCUGUGGAACCAGAUCAGGGUCCAGUGUGCUUUGAAGAUGUUGCUGUUUGUUUCACGGAUGAGGAGU